AUUGAACGCUGGCGGCAGGCCUAACACAUGCAAGUCGAGCGGUAGAGAGAAGCUUGCUUCUCUUGAGAGCGGCGGACGGGUGAGUAAUGCCUAGGAAUCUGCCUGGUAGUGGGGGAUAACGUUCGGAAACGGACGCUAAUACCGCAUACGUCCUACGGGAGAAAGCAGGGGACCUUCGGGCCUUGCGCUAUCAGAUGAGCCUAGGUCGGAUUAGCUAGUUGGUGGGGUAAUGGCUCACCAAGGCGACGAUCCGUAACUGGUCUGAGAGGAUGAUCAGUCACACUGGAACUGAGACACGGUCCAGACUCCUACGGGAGGCAGCAGUGGGGAAUAUUGGACAAUGGGCGAAAGCCUGAUCCAGCCAUGCCGCGUGUGUGAAGAAGGUCUUCGGAUUGUAAAGCACUUUAAGUUGGGAGGAAGGGCAGUAAAUUAAUACUUUGCUGUUUUGACGUUACCGACAGAAUAAGCACCGGCUAACUCUGUGCCAGCAGCCGCGGUAAUACAGAGGGUGCAAGCGUUAAUCGGAAUUACUGGGCGUAAAGCGCGCGUAGGUGGUUCGUUAAGUUGGAUGUGAAAUCCCCCGGGGCUCAACUUGGGAAACUGCAUUCAAACUGACAAGCUAAACUAUGGUAAAGGGCGGGGGAAUAUCCUGCUUGCCAGUCAAUUGGGACUA
rnacentral:rRNA from 1 species